AUGCUGAUGGACUUGCACAUUCGGAUGAAAAGCUUGGUGCUGCGAGUUAUUCUAGGAAGAAUCAAAAGGGGUUUACCUUUCAAAGGGUAUCAGACGAAUAUGAAGGAAGAUGAAGAAAUGAUGACAGCCGCGGCGGAUGGAAUCAGAGCAACGCAAGGAUCGGGCACUGUUGAUGAAGGCGAAGAAGAGACGAAGCAACACAGGCGAGGAAGUGACGAUGGUGAGCGGCUUCGGAGGAAGAAACGGAAGCGAGGUAGAGAUGAUGAACAGGGGGGCGGAAACUGA